rnacentral:rRNA from 1 species
ACUACGGGUGGCAGCAGUGGGGGAUAUUGCACAAUGGGGGGAACCCUGAUGCAGCGACGCCGCGUGGGUGAAGGAGUAUUUCGGUAUGUAAAGCCCUAUCGGCAGGGAAGAAUUUAGACGGUACCUGACUAAGAAGCCCCGGCUAACUACGUGCCAGCAGCCGCGGUAAUACGUAGGGGGCAAGCGUUAUCCGGAUUCACUGGGUGUAAAGGGAGCGUAGACGGCCAGGCAAGCCUGGAGUGAAAGCCCGGGGCCCAACCCCGGGACUGCUCUGGGAACGGUCCGGCUGGAGGGCGGGAGGGGCAGGCGGAAUUCCUGGUGUAGCGGUGAAAUGCGUAGAUAUCAGGAGGAACACGGGCGGCGAAGGCGGCCUGCUGGACCGCGACUGACGUUGAGGCUCGAAAGCGUGGGGAGCGAACAGGAUUAGAGACCCCUGUAGUC